rnacentral:pre_miRNA from 1 species
GAAGUACUCCCUCCGUUCGGAAUUACUUGUCUUGAAAAUGGAUGUAUCUAGAACUAAAAUACAUCUAGAUACAUCCAUUUUUGCGACAAGUAACUCCGAACGGAGGGAGUAGGAG